rnacentral:rRNA from 1 species
UAAUUCUGGUUGAUCCUGCCAGAGGUUACUGCUAUCGGGGUCCGACUAAGCCAUGCGAGUCAAAUGUUCUUCGUGAACAUGGCGGACUGCUCAGUAACACGUGGACAACCUACCCUUGGGACUGGGAUAACUCCGAGAAAUUGGGGAUAAUACCAGAUAGUCCAUAGAGGCUGGAAUGCGCUGUGGAUUAAAGGCUAUAUCAAUCCAAGAAUUCUUUAAAGAAGGCCUUUGGUCGUCUAUAGCGAAUUUAAGGAAAGAUAUAGUCCGCCCAAGGAUGGGUCUGCGGCCUAUCAGGUAGUAGUGGGUGUAACGUACCUACUAGCCAGCGACGGGUACGGGUUGUGAGAGCAAGAGCCCGGAGAUGGAUUCUGAGACACGAAUCCAAGCCCUACGGGGUGCAGCAGGCGCGAAAACUUUACAAUGCGGGAAACCGCGAUAAGGGGACCUCGAGUGCCAGUACAUAGUACUGGCUGUUCAUAAGCCUAAAAAGCUUAUGAUAGCAAGAGCCGGGCAAGACCGGUGCCAGCCGCCGCGGUAACACCGGCGGCUCGAGUGGUAACCGUUAUUAUUGGGUCUAAAGGGUCCGUAGCCGGCCUAACCAGUCUUUUGGGAAAUCUGGCGGCUUAAUCGUCAGGCUACUAAAAGAUACUAUUAGGCUUGGGACCGGGAGAGGUAGGAGGUAUCUCAGGGGUAGGAGUGAAAUCUUGUAAUCCUUGAGGGACCACCAGUGGCGAAGGCGUCCUACCAGAACGUGUCCGACGGUGAGGGACGAAAGCUAGGGGCG